CCUAACGGGUAGUUCCGUUUGGAAUUGCGUUUCUUGACUUCUUGUGCGCUGGCCGUUGAGAGGGAAGCCGGUUGAUAUUUCGGCACCUGGAUGUGGAUUCUCCCCCGCAACUUAACUGAACGUCAGGGGUUCACUGAAUAGUUCACUUCUCUUUGAAGCAUAUCACCCUGAAUCCGGGUUGUCCGGAGCUAGGGUUUCACGGCUGGCAGAUUUCGGCACGCCUUCGUCGGGUCCCGUGCCCCGACGAUCCUGGAAAAUCCGGGGGAAGGAAUGGAUAUCAUAAAAAG
rnacentral:ncRNA from 1 species